GGUGGCGAUGGCGGAGGGGUUCCACGCGUACCCAUCCCGAACACGACCGUUAAGCCCUCCAGCGCCGAUGGUACUUGGACCGAAGGGUCCUGGGAGAGUAGGACGCCGCCAAGC
rnacentral:rRNA from 1 species